UACAGAGACUGCAAGCGUUAUUCGGAUUCACUGGGCGUAAAGGAUGCGUAGAUGGUUCAGUAAGUUACUGGUGGGAAAUCGAGGCCCAACCUCGUGGAAGUUAGUAAUACUGUUGAACUUGAGUGCAGGAGAGGUUAACGGAACUUCAUGUGGAGCGGUAAAAUGCGUAGAUAUAUGAAAGAACAUCAAUAUGGCGAAGGCAGUUAACUAUUCUGCUACUGACAUUGAGGCAUGAAAGCGUGGGGAGCAAAACGG
rnacentral:rRNA from 1 species